AAUUUUUUUUUGAAGCACACUUCUAACAGUUAUUUGAUGCAUAGGAAUAUAAUGAAGUGGGCUCUCAACUAACAGAAAAUCAUUAAAGGAGAGAUGCUGACACAGCUGCUGCUUCUCUUUGCCCCAUCAUUACUACGAGGAAGAUUGACAAGACUAAAAAGUGAGGAGAAGUGACAGGGAACAAGAUGACUUAAGCUCAAACUAACUUUUUUUCCUGUUCUGCUGGAUUGCAGCACUGCUACAGCAGUAGGAGAGAGGAGAAAUAAUAUGAGGAAAUGGAAUGUGAUAAGGAAGACUCAAGGCAGCAGGAAUUAUGUUUGCUUAAAAGGAGAGAAAAAAGGUGGUAGCUACAGAUGAACAACAGUUCAAGUUUCCACUUCAUUCACAUAUAUAUAUCUGAUAUUAGGACACUUCUUGUGGGUCUUGGAAUCAAAUCAGUGUUUGCUGUACCUGAAGGAAUUGGUGAUGACCGCAGCAUACAUGAUGCAGAAUUUGAGGCAUCUGAAUUACUCUUGUCAGUACAUUGAGUACAAGACCAGAAUUGUGGAUAUGUUCGAAAAGGAACUGGAAAAGAAACUGCCUGUGCUCUCCUACCUCUACCAGAAUAUCUCCAGUUUUGCAGCACCUCAGCACACUUUUUGAUGCCCCACUUUAUAGCAGUGAAGUCAACCGUCUUGUCUGCUUUCACACCACUGAUGCCUGCGAAACUAAAGGAUACUCCAUUCUUUUGAAAUACACGUUUGCAUUCUUUUGAAAGAAGAAACUUGAGUGCAGUUUUAGUUUCACAAUGUACUGCUAUUCCCAUCACUUUUUUCUGGCUUCUGAUGUCAGCCCAACCUCAAAAUUGAAUUCUGUCUGGGAAUUUUUCCAAAUUUUAUUCAGAAAAGGUGACAGCUACAAAAGGUCUGUGCAGAUACUUUUGCAAGGCAAUCUAUUUAUUAAAGCUGGUUUGUUUAUUGGAUUAAAAAUGACUGAGAGGUUGAGCUGCAUUAGAAAUUUUCAGUUUACUCAGCUUUAAGAGGGCCUCAAAAUGUUUGGUCUUUUUUAUCUUUAGAAGUAGUUCACAAAUGAUUAACCGAACUGCCAAGAGUCUGAAGGGACAAGUAAAUGCUAUCUAUCUCUGCACUCACAACCCUGAAGAGCAAAACUGAAGCUGGAAGCUGGGGAGAUUUCUCAAGUGACAAGAACAGAAAAUCAGAGCUCAGAUAUUCUAGUUUUUUACCCAGAGCACUAAGUUUACAAAACACAUCUCUUUUUUGACAUAAACGGAGAUCCAGCUUUCUACUGUGCAAAUGUAACGUCACAGUGGGAGUGUAAAGCUGCAAUGGCAACUUAAAUUUACACAAAGUUAUGAGUAUCUCUACCU